rnacentral:tRNA from 1 species
AGCGGGGUGGGGUAGCCAGAUGGCGACUAGUGGCGCCCUGAAGUGUUUGAAGAACGCUACUGUCGCCAGGUAAAGAUUAACCCGCUGGGCUCAUAACCCAGAGAUCGGUCGUUCAAAUCGACCCCCCGCUA